rnacentral:rRNA from 1 species
CAAAAACAUAGCCUUUAGCCACCUAAGUAUUAAAGGUCCUGCCUGCCCAGUGAAAUUUUAAACGGCCGCGGUAUUCUAACCGUGCAAAGGUAGCGUAAUCACUUGUCUUCCAAAUAAAGACCAGUAUGAACGGCUAAAUGAGGAUAAGCCUGUCUCCUAAAACCUGUCAGUGAAACUGAUCUCCUAGUCCAAAAGCUAGGGUAUCACUAUAAGACGAGAAGACCCUGUGGAGCUUAAAACUCUACUGCUAACAACUGUUAACACAACUAGCACGAAUUUUAAGUUGGGGCGACUUCGGAACAAAACAAAACUUCCGAGCACGGAACCACCCCUUCCAACCAAGGCUAACAAGCCAAAGCCAGAAAUUGACCCAGUCACACUGAUCAACGAACCAAGUUACCCCAGGGAUAACAGCGCUAUCUUCUUCAAGAGUCCUUAUCGACAAGAAGGUUUACGACCUCGAUGUUGGAUCAGGACACCCUAAUGGUGCAGCAGCUAUUAAAGGUUCGUUUGUUCAACGAUUAAUAGUCCUACGUGAUCUGA